rnacentral:rRNA from 1 species
UACGUAGGCAGCGAGCGUUAUCCGGAUUCACUGGGUUUAAAGGGUGCGUAGGUGGGUUGGUAAGUCAGUGGUGAAAUCUCCAGGCUUAACUUGGAAACUGCCAUUGAUACUAUCAAUCUUGAAUACCGUGGAGGUCAGCGGAAUAUGUCAUGUAGCGGUGAAAUGCUUAGAUAUGACAUAGAACACCAAUUGCGAAGGCAGCUGGCUACACGAAUAUUGACACUGAUGCACGAAAGCGUGGGGAUCAAACAGG